GCCUUAGGCUGCAUAGGGGUUUUAGGUAGUUUUGACAGCAUACUCAGGCUUGCGCAUACCCAUUCCUGCUUUAUGUCUCAUACCCGUUUUGAUUCUUUGUGGGCGUGCCACUGUGGUCAUGCCACUUUUUGUGAGGGUUGGCCAGGAUCUGAGGUCUCUGGAGACCUGAUCCAGCUCGUAUGCCCCUUUAAGUAUAAUGAUUUCCCCUCUGCUUUUAUAGUCGGAACUAUUUUAUUAUAAGCUUUGUCCGGAGACGUUUAGCAUACAUAGGAGUAGCAAAAUCAUAAUUCUUAAAGAGUAUAUAGUAGUGUAGAAAUCAUGAUCCGGAGACCGUAUUAAAAAUGAUAGGCUUUGAGGUGCAGGGAGUUCCAGCAGUUGGGUUGUAUUUUACCUUUGCUAUCUUGCAUCCUGUAGGCGCCUGCUCUCCGCACCUCGAUGACCUUAUAGGGUCCUUCCCACCCUGGGGUGAGUUUCCCCAUUGUUUUUUAUGCUCGUCGUAGAACCAGUCCCCUUGCUGGAAGGUUCUGGUUCUAACUUUCUUGUUGUACGUCCAGGCGACGUCUUGCUGGUAGGACCAGUUUCUCAGUCGAGCGGCCUCUCUUUUUUCGU
rnacentral:lncRNA from 1 species